AGAUUGAACGCUGGCGGCAUGCCUUACACAUGCAAGUCGAACGGCAGCACGGGAGCAAUCCUGGUGGCGAGUGGCGAACGGGUGAGUAAUAUAUCGGAACGUGCCCAGUAAUGGGGGAUAGCCCGGCGAAAGCCGGAUUAAUACCGCAUACGACCUACGGGUGAAAGCGGGGGAUCGCAAGACCUCGCGUUAUUGGAGCGGCCGAUAUCAGAUUAGCUUGUUGGCGGGUAAAAGCCCACCAAGGCAACGAUCUGUAGCUGGUCUGAGAGGACGACCAGCCACACUGGGACUGAGACACGGCCCAGACUCCUACGGGAGGCAGCAGUGGGAAUUUUGGACAAUGGGCGCAAGCCUGAUCCAGCCAUGCCGCGUGUGGGAAGAGGCCUGGUUGUAACAUUUGUCGAGGAGAACGCUCUACUAUAUUAGAGCUAAUGAGUACCUGAAGAAUAAGACGACCGGACUAACCGUACGUGACCAGCGA
rnacentral:rRNA from 1 species